rnacentral:lncRNA from 1 species
UCCGACACACAAGGAAGGACGCGGUGGGAAGGAAGCAGCCUUAGCCUCUGUCCGGCCGAUCAUUCCGUUGGCAUCUUGCAUUCACGCCUUCCGUUUGACUGCCACUCGGGGAUGUAGUUGUAGAUACGUUAGUCUUAAUGGGUCGUUGGCUCCACCUGUUAUCUCCUUCUAUGACAUGCUGUUGUCGUCGCCAUAUUCCAUAUGUCACAUAAAUAGAACACCUUCCUUAAGCAUUGACAAAAAAAUUACAUCUCCAGCCAUGCUACUUAUUCGGGUGCAAUCGCAACCCCAAGAACAAUAAUUAAAAGCACAUGGCUCUCUCUAGCCGUUCCACAAGAAUGAUUCCAAAUGCCAAAACCCUUGGAUCCGACAAACACAUUUUUUUUUACCUCUAAUAACGAUUAAUCUAAUAGCAGAAAACAAUCUAAUAAUCAGAUAUGCUCAAGUCUCCUACACCUUCCAGGCGCCACGGCUUCCCACCAAAAAGAUUCUCCAAUAAACCUAGCUCACAGCAACAAGUUAACCAUCGAAUACAAAAGUUAAUUUCCAUACCAAGCCCACUACUACACUUGUGGCUCACCAACCAACGAAAACCAUGAAUUCAAGCAAGAAUCAAAACUCAUAGCUAAACUCAGCUCAAGUUCCAGAAGAAAUAACUUAAAACACACGAAAAGCAAAUCCUCUAACUUCAAGCUCAAAAGCUCCACAGAUCUCCGAUAUCUGCCAGAACCCGUUUCAAAAUCACACUAGAAACCUCAACUAAUCAUCCUGACGCAAACGGAUGAACACACAACCAAAUAGCGAAGACCUCCCAAACCAAACUUGGAUCAAUGAGUGGUCCCACCACAAUAUGAUCCCGAGAAGAGACGUUGAUCAACCUAUCAAUAAAUCUACUAUUCGCCAUAAUAAAUCUCUUAAUAAACUUUGACUCGAAAAACUUCUUGAGUUAACAAGGGAAAACCUUCUCUCAUAAUGCUACAUCAUGAAAUAUACCUACAACGACACAAACCAUCAAAUCAACAUCACCAUGCAACUCUCGAACUACCACAUAGGAUUUACGGCACCAAGAUUCAUUGCUUAAAUGAACUCCAGCUCAUUUGGGAUCACCACUGGAUUUAUUUCGGAUCCAUGACUACGUCACAACUACCAAUUUAUCAUUUACCUCGAAACUUCGACAAAAUAACCAGAAUCCCUACCCUUCAAAUCGAAGCGUUGAAUUCGCAUUCCAAAAUUUUAAGCUCUGAGGAUGCUACCCAAAAAAAAAACUACAGUAGGAAUAAUUUAUAUAUUCCCACACACACCACAACCAAAAACUCUGCUCCAUCUCAUUGAAUUAGAAAUAAGGUGAGUGAACAGAUCCUCCCAGAGAGGUGUCGUAGCUAGUCACCAAGAGCUAAUGAAGGGAUGUCAAUAACCAACUUCGAUCACAAAUUCAAGACUUAAAUCAAUCACCCGAAACGACACUGCUUAAAUGUCACACCCCGGUUCUUGAGUUAUUUUACGGUUAUUUACUCUUGGUAUUACUUUGGCUUUUACCGUGUUGAGUAACCGUUUACUACUUAAGGACCCUAAAGUUGACUUUUUCUUCUGUUUGGAAUUUGGGAAAACUUUCUUCAUGAAAGUUGUAGAGGACGUUAAACAGAGUUCGUGGACACGCGGCACGCUUAAAAUGGAGUUCGUAUGAAGAAGUUAUGGUCUAAAAACGAAAGUUACUAUAUUGGUAAAAGGAGGUAAAUUCUAGUAGGCUUUAUUUUGUGGAUGUUUUAAGCUGUGAACCGGGCCAAUAAGAGGGGGAAAAAGCCCACUGCCCACUCUCUCUCCGGAAGCUUUCCCAGCAUCGCCCGUCACCGGAGAUCGCCGCACCGGUCCCAAACGGUCGGUCGUCGACCCAGCUCUCUUCUUGGACCGGUGGGAGCCGCCCUAGCGCCGCCGUGAGGGAGGAAGAGCUCUCGGAAGGUCCGACUGGGUGAUGGAGUCCCGACACCGGAACUCGCUCCAACGGCCACCAUUUCCGGUGAUUUCAGUCCCAUUUGGAAGUACUCUCCGUGUGUAACAAUUCCCUAGAAGGUAAUGAUCCAAUUCAAAGUGUGUAGGAGGAUUUUCAGGCUAGGGUUUGAAUUGGGGGAUUUUUAGAUGUUUUGAUUCGAUUACCCUAGUUAGGCUUAGAAUUGGGCUAAGUGUUGGUCAUGAAAGUUGUUUGGGAUGUUGAGAGGAAGAUGCUGUUAAAAUUUGGUAGCCAUUAGGGGUCGUCGGAGUCGGCCGCCGGCCGCCGCUGCUGGCGGAGAAGACGGCGGCGCCGCCGCUGUAAAGAGGCUUUUCAGGGUUUUAAAUGUGUUUAAUUAAGGGGAGUCUAAUGGUAUGAAGUUUGGAACGUUUGGAGAAGUUUUGAUAAGUUUUGGGAUUUUAAAAGAUUAAGGAUUGUGCCGGUUGUUAGAAUGAAAAUCCGGCCGUUGGAUUUCCUUGAUAUUUAUUCUAAAAUGUUAGAAUUGAGGAAUUAAGGUUAUGGUGGAGUUUGGUGAAAAUCUGGUGAGCUUAACCCUAGUUAGAGUAAUGGGUUAAGCGGAAGAGAUUUGGGUGUUUAUUUUCAAAUGUUUAAUUUUCCAGAAUUUAAGUUUGGUCCUAAGCAUAUUUAUUGUGCCAAGAUACGAAGGGAACCUCGCUUGAGUAGUGAUUCGAAAUUCGUCAAGCUUAGGCCUAAAUCUGUGAGUGGACAUUUUGGUUUUUAAUUAAUAUGCAUGCAAGAUUUUAUAAUUUAGUAUUUUAUUUUCCGAGCAUAUAUUAUGACUUCGGCAUAUGAAAUGAUUUUGGAAAUUAUUUGAGAUCGAUGCAUGGAUUAAAUGUUGGUCAUAAUUUAUGGAUUUGAGCUCGGAUUGAUAAUUUGAGAUUUGAGUUUGGAUUUUCUUUAUGAUUUCCGAAUUUGAGAUUUCAUACUAAAUUGCAUAUUGGCUGGUUUUUUUGAAAGAUGAUAUUAUUGAAGUUAUUUAUUUCAUUGAGCAUUUUAACGUGUGGGACACGUCAUUGAAUUUAAUUAUUUUCUUUGCUCUUUGAAUUCUUUGAGUACGGUUGGGAAUCGUACUUAUGCUUUAAUUAUGAGUUUCGGGGAAACUCACAUGGAUUUAUGUUUCUUUAUUUAUGCCAUACUUGUUGGAUUGUUAUUAUUCAUGCUAGCAUGUUGUUCCACCUUUCGAGGCGAUGUAACUUCCACAUUUUAAGUGGGGUUACUCAGGCCCUUUUCGCCUUUGGGUGAUGUGAUGUAGUCAACGACAUCACGCAAGCCCUACACCCUCUCUGUUAUCAUAACGUGAAGGUGUAGGGAGUAUGGGAGUACUUUGCCUAGGAGGCAACCGAGUCUAGGAGGCUCACUUGUAUGGUUAUAUCUGCUUCUUAUUUAUUUGUUGUUUUUGACUAGCGGGGCUAGUCCAUUAUUUUGGUGUUUUCUUUUACGAAAGGUAUUAUUUAUCUUUGGCAAUAUCUUAACUAGCGGGGCUAGUCCGUUUUCUUGGGAAUUUCUUUAUGGAGGUUUUAUCAACACUUGCAUGUAACAAAUUUCUUGAUCAUUGGAAAAUGGGGAAGUAAUUAAGUUUGGUUAGUUAUAUUGCGAUCAGUUAGUUGAUUAUUUUUUGUCCACUCACUCUAACGUUUUUAUGUUACUUUCCCCUAGGCCCUUCGGUUUCAAAUGCCCAGUGUGCAGGCAAAGUUUUAAAGGAGGUCGAGCGUACAUCGAGUCGAGGCAUAGUCAGAGGCUGCUUCCGCUUAUUCUUUAUUCAUUGUUUUAUAUUUAACUCUAGAUAUGCUCUGAUAAUCAGUUAGUGAAUUAAUGUUGGUUAUUGUUGGUUGUGGGUUUGGUUUAGUUUAGUUGAGUAAUUGUUAUAUUGGGAGAUGUGUUGAACUUGGGGAGCAGGAAGGCUCCAGGUGUUGAGGAUGGAUGUUUGGUUAUAGAAGUGUUAAGUUGGAUUUUUCAGGUAAGGGUCGUCCAUUUUUAAGAAAGGUUAUGCCGAAUUUUCUGUAAAUUUUCCUUGAAGGUGGACCCCACAGGAUUUACCUCGGGUUUCAGGGUGAAAUUUGGGGUGGGUCUUGUCAUUAAAAAUUACUUUGGACACCCAUGCACUCUUGCUCUAUGGUCCAAUGGGUUUUAUUCCACUGCUACCACUUCCACCAACUCCACACAAUUGCCAAAGAAUACUCAUGACAACACGUAAUAAAUUCAUCAGGUGUUGUCGUAAAACUAGAGUGACCAUAACCAUCCCGCUCUCACUCCGCCAUUACUUUUCAAUUCUAUCUAAAUUUAUCAUCUUCCCAAAACACUCGACGAAACUGGAAACCCAACUUCAACAUUUAGAAUUCCGAAACAAUCUAUAAUGGCCCCACGAUUAAAAAAAAACAUAACCGACAUCUCACUCCAUAAUUCCAAACUUGCUUGAAGCUCAAACCAUUAGUGCCACCAUUCAAUUUCUAAAAUUCUUUGACUGAGGCACAACAAUAAGCUUUUCACAACGCUAUGCUCAAUGACUCUUGUAAGGCCAACCAUCCAAGGAAAAUAAUCCUGGACUCUUAUACUUAACGCCUUAGCCGGCUUCAGCUAAACCAUAAUAGAGACCAAAAUCAUCAGAAAUCUUACUAUUCAUCGACUAUUAUUAUCCAUCAUUUCCAAAAGAUAUUACCACCACUACCUUAAUAAAUUGCUCAAAAGAUAAAAACUUAUCCAUAAUUAGAGUUGUAGGAACCAGAAUAUGUGCUGACAUAACCAGCAUUAUCCUAAAAUGUUCCCAACUGCUUUCUACUGCGGACAAACAUAGUCGGCAAAUUGGCCUUCCAUCGACAUUUAGCUCUUUAUGUAGCAAUGCCUUACCACCCAAUUACUAACCACAAAUCCCACAUGACUAAAUCACUCAAGCUUAAGGUCCGAAACAACUCAUAAAGAUACCUCCAAGAGUUACUAUAGGUACCCACCAUAACACUUCAACUAACUUUAACAUCAAAAGAAAACACUAUUACCUCAAACUUCUUUCCAACUAUUUUCUCCUAGAAGUAACAUAACUCACAGCCAAGAUUUUUCUAUCGGACUACAACAACUUCACACUUGCCCACUAUAAUUAGUGAACUCCAAGCCUUGAAUUAAACUUUUCACCUUCUACACAAUCGCACGCGAUGCUGAUCACCCUAGCAUCUUAAUCAUAACCCAAACAAUCAUUGAUCACAUAAAAGGAAUGCUGCCACGCAUAUGAGUUCCCAUCUCGCAGUUGAACUCUAACAAUUUAUGAUAUCAACUCGAAAACCCUUGGAAAAGGCAUAAACCAAACACCUCAUUCCCUAAUCAAAGCAGGAUGAUCACUUAAGAGGUCGACGUACUAAGGCAUAGUCUUGAAGAUCUAGACAUUUAUGAACAAUACUGUCCAUAAAUAAGAUAGGAACAACUACAUCACAAACUUAAUCAACACAUAGUGUCUAAAGCAUAAAAUGUUAAUAGGUCCGCCGCGGUCGGACCAUCACUCUAUAGACACUAAGUAUGACUAAGAAUAUGAGGUAGUACUAAAAAGAGAAAGGAAUCGAAUAACCUAGUGCUCUGAUACCAACUGUCAGGACCCACCCCGAAUUUCACCUUGAAACCCGAAGUAAAUCCUGCGGGGAUCACUCCCAAGGAAAGAUUUACCGAAAAAUUAGCAAAACCUCUCUUAAAAAUAGACAACCCUUACCUGACAAAAAUUUCAAAUUACACUCCUACUAACACACAUCCAACCUUAACUCCUAGAGCCAUCCGCUCCCCGCAAACCCAACCAUCCCAACAUCAACAAAACAUCAUCCAAACAUCACAUAAAAAUUCAGCUAGAACAGUAAAAUCUUAUCCUUCAAAUAUUCUAAACAUAACACAACAGAUCGAGCACACUACCGAAAUAAUUUACAUUAAUCCCAACCAUUCAGAGCUACUAGACACUAGCGGAAACAAGAAAACACGGGUAGGUUAAACAGGUAACCUACUGGUGAAAGGUAGUGGAAAUGCGGGUGACUAUGCCUCGCCUCCUACUAGAUCCAACCCGAACUCUGCAGACUGGGCAUUUUAAAACGAAAAGGCCAGGGGAAAACAUUUAAUAACGUUAGAGUGAGUGGACAAAAAUAAAUUAAUAAAUAAAAUAUUUAUGUUUCCCUAAAUCAAUUUCCAAGAAAAAAUCGAAUGCAUGCUGCAAGCGAUAAAACUUUUAUCUCAUAAACUAUCGAGCCUCUCAGGCUCUAUAAUAUAUGUAUAUAUUUACACACGUCCAUACUUCCUAUAUAAAUUCAUGGGUUUUUAUAGGGUUACUACACUCGCGUCCAACGCUCACGUCACACCUUAAUGCGGUGCUACACUACGCCAUUAAGGUGGACAUACGGUGUAUAAAUAUGUGUCCAUACCCCCCUAUAUGAAUUAAACACUCAUAUAAGGUUACUACGCUCGCGUCUAACGCUCACGUCACACCUAAUACGGCUAUAUGCUACGCCAUUAAGGUGGACAGACACAUAGGGCUAGCUAGCUUUUAUAUACACUCUCUCAUAAAUACAUAUUUAUAUCCACCGAAAAUCCCAUUUUCGGUAACUCUCCAAGAGAAAUAAAAAUCGUCAAAUAAAAAUAACGUCAAAAUAAUCCGCAACAUUUAUUGUUCAUCCAUGAACUAUAGCAUGCAUUUUAUUUAAAACAAAAGUCUACUCACUAAUUUAGGCUCAAACUUCCCAAUAUAAUGCCCGAAAUGCUCCUCGAGCGUUGCCCCUAAACAGAACCUUAACCUGGAAUUGAAGUCAUAAUCAAAUUCCAUCCUUUUAACACAUCAACCAAAUUUUUUCCAAAAUUUACUAAGGACACCCAAAAAGGUUUCCAUAAAUAGGAAGCUUCCAAAAAGGAAAGUUUCCUAGAAUAGAAACUUUCCUAACUUAACAAGUUUUCCAAUAAUAAUAACCCGAGCUUUCCUUUUUAGGCACUAAGACUUAAAAUAGAAAGGUUGCUCAAAAACUACCUUCUCGACUCUUUGCCGGAUCUACUGCUUCGCCGGAACCCUUACCGGAAAAUUUCACCGGAUUCCGGCCACUCGUCGGAAAAUUGGCCAUGGCCUCCCUGCAUCUUCUAAUCUCCAAGUUAUCGACAAUCAUGCAGAAAAUAAACAAUUCAAACACCAACCAACCGAAACCACACAACAACAACAACACCGAAGUUCAAGACUUAACACUCACCUUGCUAUAAUCCUCGCCGAAACCAUGUUCACUGACAGCCCAAAACCGCAGUCAUGAUCGGAAGACACUCAAUCAAACACCCAAAACCACUGCCUCCUUCCGAAACAGUAACAACUUCCUCCAAACUUCUUCCAAAGCGCGUCGGGGCUCCCACCAACCACAACUAGGCUCGCUUAAGCUCGACGGACACACUGAAACUCAAGAACAAAAGCCCUUGUCGGAGACCGAACCUCAAACCCAGAAAACAGAGAAAGGGGGAAAUCUGAUUAGGGCUCUACAUUUGGAAAUCGAAGCUCAAGGAAGACCGAAAAACUAGAGGGAAGUGAUGAGUAUACCUUCGGCCGAAAAACUAGAGGGAAGCACAAGCUCACCGGAAAAGAAAAGAUUCGGCCGGAAUUUGGGUUUUGGGGAUUUAGGGUGCUUGUUUCGAUCGGACGGGAUAGAUGAUGCCUGGCAAGUUGAUGGGUAGCAGUAGAGAGAGGAGAGAGAGACAAGUCGAUUGGGGGUGGUAGCUAGACCAGCGACGGCUGGACGACGGCGCUCCGACGUGGAGACGACGGAGAAGAAAGAGAGAGAGAAGAGAAAGUCGGGAGGGAGGAGAGAGAGAAGAGAGAAUAGGGUUUGGGCUUUUUCCCAAACCGGUUCCUACCCAAACCAAAUAUAAACCCAACUCUAAAAAUAAAACACCCCAAAAAUAAUACCCCAAUAAAAAUUACAUUUUACUAGCUAAAAUUUACCAUUUUUACCGUCGUCACAAUUUCCUCCUUCGAAUAUUUCCUUUGAAAUAAUUGUCCCUCAAAAUCCCUUUAGAGACUAUUUAAACUACAAACACAUUGACGAAGAAGGUAAAACUCUUAUUAUUAUCAAGCUAGUAAAUAAAGUAAAAAUUUAAGAGUCAGGAUGUGACACAAAUUAAAGAGAGAAAACUUGGCACUUGGCUUACAAUUAGUAAGCAAGCAAUUGAGAUUAGAAUUAUAAUAUCAAUAGAAAUACAGUGCGAUGGGAUGAUGGGAUAUUAAGACUAUCAAGGCAUUAAUCAAUUGAGAUUUGAGAUAAUGAGAUAUUAGGACUAAAUUUGAUCAAGACAUUAAUCAAUUGAGAUUUGAGAAUUAGGUCAUAUGACAUGGACAAGACCCUCUAAGAGGAUGACCGAUAUAACUAAGAAUCAUACCUGCAGAUUAAAGAGAGAAAGUUUGACACUUGGCUUAGCUACUUCGGCAGAAGAGAAUGGAGACGUAUACAACGACAAAGAAAAAGAAAUAAAGAGAAGAAAGUUAACCUAAAAUAUACUAAAAGAGCAACUGCUUUUAAUAAAAUAAACAAUAUAUAUGUAAUCAGAUAAAAAAAAUCAUAUAAACUAAGUUUAAUUACAUAAAGAAAUUUAGAGUGGACAAGUUUUCAUAAUUUAACUUUUUUAAUUAUAAAUAUGCAACAAAACAAUGUUUUCUUAAAAUCUGGGAUGGACUGUAACCCACCGUAACUGGUGUGUAGGUACGCCUUUGAAAGUAGUGACUGUAAUAUUGUACUGGAAAGCAUUGAAAUUAAUUCCAGAUAUAUAUGAAAUAUGAGUCUAGCUAGCUACCAAAAUUCUUUGGAAAUUAAAAUAGAGAAAAUAAACAUUUUGAAUGAGAGAGGUGAUGAUGAAAUAUUUGCAUAAACAGAAUUAAUUACCAAGCGUCCCUGCCUAAUGGGAUGUUGCUGUAUGCGUAGGCCAACAAUAAACACAGAGCAAGCUUAAAUAGUAGAUCAACAACAAUAUGUAGAAGCAGUAAAACCCUCUUAAGAUGUAAACAACUGCAAGGCAGUAUGCCAGUAAACAAUCCAUUAAUAAAAGAUUAGUACAUAAAGAACUUUGACAAUCUUUUCUUACAAGACUUACUAGAAGGCAAUUUGAUCUUGUGUUCUUGUACGUCUUUGCUACUUAAUCUGGAGAAUGGAUCUGAUCACCAUCGUCAACCUUGAAAUGACACAUACGCUGGACUCGGUUGUCAAUCACCUCAAGGCACGAACCUGCAGGCAUGAAUGAUACAACGUAUGGAAGCACAAACAAAACUUGGAAGAAGACAUGCAUACUGAUGAAGAAUUCUCGAAAAUCUUCUAAGCUCGAAACUCUAUACAAUGCAGUAACCCUCGAGUUUUCCUACUGGGCGUGGACUUUAAAAUAUUUUCUUGACAUGGAUGAUAAAGUAUCACAUCACAAACAACUAUACAAGCCCACUAAUUAUAUAUAUAUAUAUAUGGUUUCGCGCAACAAGUCAUCAACACCAAAAACCAUGCCAGACAUAAAAGGAUAAAGGGAUUGAACAUGUGGGUUUUGCUCCUAUACAUAUUUGUAUUUUAUACGCAACAAUUUAAAAUUCAAGAUAAUUUAAGAUGCUCGGAUGGCUCACAGCUUGAUGUAUGCUAUACACAUGUAUAGUACAAAAUUCCUUGAAUAUGUGAUAUGUUUUCUUGAUAUAUUUUCUUAGUCAUAGCUAGUGACGUGAGAAAUGAAUCAAACUUCAACCUAACAGAGAUUAGUUGAUCACAUAGGGAUUGAAACUUUGAUUGCAUAUAGCCAUAUAUAAGCAUAAUCCUGAUGAGCUUAAGAACAAUAAUUUUAAAAAAAUGAAAUUAAGGGGAAAUACAUGAUGUAAAAGUAAAGACACCAGCUGGUUGAAUUGUAUAUAGUUGAUCGAGAGAACUAAAAGCUCUGAAGCAUGAGACCGGCAAAUUAAAUCUCAAUUGCACUAGCUCUCUCAUUCUCUACUGUCAUGCAAGUCAUGGCAAGCACUUUUAUCUUCAGCGAAGGUAAUCAUUUGAUGCAUUAGCAAAUUAUCCUACGUCUUCUGCCCAACAUACAUGUUUAUAAUGAAGGGAACUGUUCCGAUUUCAUUGAAGUUGAAGAAUCAAAGAAUUUCAAGAUGGAAAGUGUAUCAACCUAGCUACUGUUAAAUAUAAGUAAAGCUGACUCGCGCUUAUUAAGAUUUAAAAAAUAAAAAUAAAAAUAAAAAAUAAAAUAAAACCUAGCUAGCUAGGAUGUUUCCCAUUUGGCAAACUCAACCGCCUAGUUGUAACAGAGGAAACAAAAGACCUUAUUUUUGUUUCUUCUUCUGAUCAAUUAUUAGCGCUUUUGUCUCUUGCAUUCCAAAUUUAGGAAAAGGAUAAACCGCCAUGGUUUUUUCAGUGCACUUAUACAUGUUUUUUAUAUAUAUAUAUAUAUAUAUACAAAUUUUCUCAGGUACGGAUGUCCAUAUUUAUUCUUACAGUGCGGAUUUUCAUUUUACACUCUACUUUUCAAUCGAAUUUUCACAUCUUCACCGUCCAGUAUUUAGAUAUUAAUGUAUAGAUCAUCGCUGCAAAAUUUCAAUCAAUUUGGUUAUCAUUAAAACACUCAAACUCGAUUAAACCAAUGGACAAAAAUAAUCCUGUCGAACUUGAACUGUUUAUGUUUAUAACAGAAAAAUACAGUUUUAAAUGCCUUAAUGAUAACUAAAUUGACUGAAAUUGUGCAAAAAUGAUCUAUACAUUAGUACCUAAAUACUAGACGGUGGAAAUGUGAAAAUUCAAUUGAAAAAUGCGUGUAAAGUGGAAAUCCGCACCGUAAGAAUAAAUGCGGAUAUCCACAGCUGAAAAGGACUGUAUAUAUAAAGGUUACAACACAAACCCGGCCUCAAGCUACACCACCCCCAUAAAGAUCAAGAUGGAAGGCGGUAGACGAGGACAAAAGAUGAGAGUUCAACCAAACAGACUAGUUCAUAGUAUGACUCAAAGAGGCUAAACUAUCUGCUAAAAAAUUGGCCUCGCGCCAUACAUGAUGAAAAGAUAUCGAACUAAAUCGUCGUGCAAGAACUCGGAUAUCUUGAACAAUGCUUUUGAUAUGCUAGUGAGUAGAGGUACGACCAGUCAGAGCAUGAAUAAGCAAUUGCGAAUCUCCUUCCACCAUAAUAGUAUGAGUAGUGUGUUAGGCAAGUUCAAGAAGGCCAUUACGAAGAGCCACAACUUAUGCCACCAGGAUAUCCAUAUGACCAAGUUUUCUACUCAUAGCCAGAAUAGGAUUUCCAGCCUCAUUCCAGACUACAAAUCCAACAACAACAUUAGCCGAAGGAUGAACUGAACCAUUAAAGUUUGCCUUGAGAAUGUUGUGAGGCGAGGGAUACCAUUUGAUAUUAUUCAUGUUAACUCGAGGAGGAGGAGAGAUUAUAGAGUACUCAAAACCAGAUGGUUGUCAUUAUCAUAGGGCAUGGCAAUGAUAUAUAUAGAGAUCAGAGAGCAUUAAGUUCUGAUAUUGUUUAGACCAGAGUAUCAUGGUCAUACGCACACAGUGCAUAUCAUAUUAGGGGAUAAAUAAAACAAAUAAAACAUUAAACAAACACCCAAUUCCUAUAAUAUCAUCAACUUGAAUUAAAAUUUAUAGAAACACAGAACAUGAGCCAAAUAUUUGCAAUUUGGGACCACUAAGAUAGCAUGUGCUGCAUAUUAUAAGCCAAAAUAAGAACCUUGAUUCUUCAGAAAGAACAAUAAUCCCAAAUUCGUAAACCAAAUCAUAUUCAAAUCCAAGUCAGAACAUCCAAUAAUGAAAUAAACCAAGAACAAAAUCAAGGGUAAGAAUCAGAAAAACAUAUCUAGAGACCUCUUCCAAUGAAAGAAGUGUACUGGUCAACCACAGCCAGUGGACUAGUCCCGGAAAAGAAGUAGAAAUCAAACACACCCCCUAUGACCUUAUACGUCAAAGAAACACCUCUGUUCCAAAUCUAGCCAGACUUCCGCUUUGAAAGAAAAGAGAGUAACAACUUCCGUUUCAAUAAACGGGUGAUAGAUAAAGUGAGUGAACUGAUUGACAUGUCACAUGCAAAUCCUUUGAUAGAUGGGUUAAGAAUGAAGCAUGAAAAUCUGAAUCAUCAACCUAAUUCUUCACUUCUCCAUUUAAAAAGAAAAAACAUAACUGUCCACUACAGCACAAACAUGAAGUAAGACUAGAGGGCAAACUGAUGAAGUUCAAAAUAAGCAAUGCAUGUCAAGUUAGAGUCAUCACUGAUUGCUGAUUCCUACAAAAACAACUAACUAGUAUCAGGGCUUAGGGUUUAAGAGCCAAGGCAUUCGGCCAG